rnacentral:tRNA from 1 species
CAGAGAGUAGUUUAAUUAAAAUAUUAAUUUUGGAGAUUGAUGAUAAAGGUUAUUUCUUUUUCUCUGA